rnacentral:rRNA from 1 species
UAUGUUAAUAGCAUAUUCAUUUGACGUUAGCUGCAGAAGAAGCCACCGGCUAACUCCGUGCCAGCAGCCGCGGUAAUACGGAGGGUGCGAGCGUUAAUCGGAAUUACUGGGCGUAAAGCGCAUGCAGGUGGUUGUUAAGUCAGAUGUGAAAGCCCGGGGCUCAACCUCGGAAUUGCAUUUGAAAACUGGCAAACUAGAGUACUGUAGAGGGGGUAGAAUUUCAGGUGUAGCGGUGAAAUGCGUAGAGAUCUGAAGGAAUACCGGUGGCGAAGGCGGCCCCCUGGACAGAUACUGACACUCAGAUGCGAAAGCCGUGGGGAGCAAACAGGAUUAGAUACCCUGGUAG